CUUCAAACUAAUUGCUUUAAGCUAUUUUUUGUACAGUGUUAGGUCUAUGAGCAUUUUCUAGCUCUAAGCACGAAGCCUAACUAUCACCAUAGAAAUGCCUAGAGCUUGCAAGUGGAAGAAACAACUACGCUGCAAAGGCCCAUUAAUAUUGUUUGAGGACAUCUCAAUUGUCAUGGUAACUUAGUAACCCAUAUGAGGAGUACAACCCAUUAGAUACACUCAGCUACUAUAUUGUAGAGUACUAUAUGUUUGAUCGUAUGUUGCGGCAAUUUGAGAAAAUGCAAGAGAUUCUUGUUGGGCCACCCAAUUGGGAUAGGAGGGAGAAGGUCAGUAUACACUCACAAGUUGGAUUGACGAGUUGAGUAGCGAUAUAAGUGACUGGCGGCAACGAGAACGUAAUGUUGUCAAGCGAUUAACUUGUAUCGGGAUACUACAAGCUGCACUUAGUGAUGAAGUAUUAGCAGGGGAAUCCAGAUGUCAUGUAUAGGAAACCCAUGAUUUGCUAUUGCAGAACACUCUUAUAAAGACAGAUACUGAGGAGAUGGUAGAAGGGGAUGGUGGAAGUGAGAGUGAGAAGAGUGAUGGUGGAGAUGACGAAAGUGAGAGCGAGGAUGGAGAUAGUGGAGAUAAGGAAAGCGAGACUGAGGAGGGAGAUGGUGAAGAUGAGGAAAGAAAGAGCUAGACUAAUGAGGUAAAUGAGAGGAGAACAAAGAAUAGCAAUGACAAGGGCAAAAUCGACCAGAUUGAAGCAGUGCCGGCCUUACAUGAGGAAUCAAUGUGGAAUUUGCGAUCGCGGAGAGAAGAAAAUGCACCGAAGGAAAGGACUGGGGAGGAACCCGAUAUAAAGGGCAAUGAUAUUUCAAGCUGGGUAAAAAAUGGUUGAGGCGAAGAAAGUGAAAAAUAUAUAUUUUUUAGUUUGAUAUUUGAUACGUAAUUUGAAAAGUGACUAAUGUACGUUGCAAAAUACUAUUAAUCUUUUUUUUAGAUAGAUGUUAAGUAGCGAGUUUGAAAGAGAUGUUAAGUAGUGAGUUUCAAACAGUGAAAUGGCCAUUCUUUUUGUACAAUUAAAGCUACUCUAUCAUAGCAGCCAGCUAAUGAA